rnacentral:rRNA from 1 species
AUGGUGCGAUUUGACUCUUUUUUUUUGCUUUUUUUUAGCCCUACCUAUACCUCAGUCUUACGAAAAAGAGAAGGGGUUGGCAUAGAGAGAACCAAAUUUGUAAAGCAAACAAACCCACGCUUUGGGAAGGUGAGGCGAACUAACAAUUCCUUCCGUCGUGUAUCCUCGAUUGAUGCGGAAAUUUUCUUGUCUUUCCCGAAUGCUAAGGAGAAGAAGAGGAUUGAGUCAAAAGAAAAAGCUAUUUUGGAGUUUUAUCAACAAUUUGCUUGUGUAGGUGGGGACCUGGUAUUUUCGGAGUCCUUAUGCGAGGAAUUACAAAAGAAAUUUUUUCAACAAAAAUGUGAAUUAAGAAAGUAUAAGAUUAAGAAAGCUCGUGGGUUAGAGAUAUAG